rnacentral:rRNA from 1 species
CCUACGGGAGGCAGCAGUGGGGAAUCUUGUGCAAUGGACGAAAGUCUGACACAGCCACGCCGCGUGCGGGAAGAAGGCCUUCGGGUUGUAAACCGCUUUCAGCAGGAACGAAAAUGACGGUACCUGCAGAAGAAGAUGCGGCCAACUACGUGCCAGCAGCCGCGGUGAUACGUAGGCAUCAAGCGUUGUCCGGAUUUAUUGGGCGUAAAGAGCUCGUAGGCGGUUCAGCAAGUCGGGUGUGAAAACUCUGGGCUUAACCCAGAGCCUGCACUCGAAACUGCUGUGACUAGAGUUCGGUAGGGGAGCAGGGAAUUCCUAGUGUAGCGGUGAAAUGCGCAGAUAUUAGGAGGAACACCAAUGGCGAAGGCACUGCUCUGGGCCGAUACUGACGCUGAGGAGCGAGAGCGUGGGUAGCAAACAGGAUUAGAUACCCUGGUAGUCCACGCCGUAAACGAUGGGCACUAGGUGUGGGUCUCUAACCAACGAGAUCUGCGCCGUCGCUAACGCAUUAAGUGCCCCGCCUGGGGAGUACGGUCGCAAGACUAAAACNCAAAGAUGACGNNGAGAGNGCGAGACGACGACGAGGGAGGAGG